AAAAAGAUAAGCUAAUUAAGCUAUUAGGUUCAUACCCUAAUUAUAGAAGUUAUUAAUCUUCUUCUUUUUA
rnacentral:tRNA from 1 species